GUGAACAAUAUGGAUCAUAUAUAUAUACCUGAUGUUGGUAAAAGAGAUGCAUUCUUACCUUACAUACAUUUAAUAUAGAUAAAAUGGCUGGAUAUAUGUGGCGUGCUUUCUCGUUUUCGCUUUGCAUUUUUAAUGAUGUGUCUGGUGAGGUUACGUAUUUGUGAAGCUAUUGAACUGUGAAGAUCAAACCAAGGGCAUGCUGACUGCAAC